UACGGGGGGAGCAAGCGUUGUUCGGAUUUACUGGGCGUAAAGCGCGUGUAGGCGGCAAGCCAAGUCGGGUGUGAAAGCCCUGGGCUCAACCCAGGAAGUGCAUUCGAUACUGGCAAGCUAGAGUCCCGGAGAGGAUGGUGGAACUCUCGGUGUAGAGGUGAAAUGCGCAGAUAUCGGGAAGAACACCCGUGGCGAAGGCGGCUCUCUGGGACGGUACCGACGCUGAGACGCGAAAGCCAGGGGAGCAAACGGG
rnacentral:rRNA from 1 species